AAGGGUAUGCAACAACAUUCUAAACAUGACUAGUUUCAUUUACAUGACUUUGCUGUCCCAAACAUUAUGGUGCCCUGAAAUGGGGGGACUAUGUAUAAACACUGCUGCUAUGGUCUGGGC